rnacentral:rRNA from 1 species
UGCGUAGGCGGAAUGAUAAGUCAGUGGUGAAAUCCUACAGCUUAACUGUAGAACUGCCAUUGAUACUGUUGUUCUUGAGUACAUUUGAAGUGGGCGGAAUGUGUCAUGUAGCGGUGAAAUGCAUAGAGAUGACACAGAACACCGAUCGCGAAGGCAGCUCACUAAACUGUAACUGACGCUGAGGCACGAAAGCGUGGGGAUCAAACAGGAUUAAAUACCCUGGUAGUCC